AUAUCAAUAAGCGGAGGAAAAGAAACUAACAAGGAUUCCCCUAGUAACUGCGAGUGAAGCGGGAAAAGCUCAAAUUUAAAAUCUGGCAGUCUCUGAUUGUCCGAGUUGUAAUUUAGAGAAGUGUUACCCGUGCUGGACCAUGUAUAAGUCUUCUAGAAUGGAGCAUCAUAGAGGGUGAGAAUCCCGUCUUUGACAUGGACUACCAGUGCAUUGUGGUAUGCUCUCAACGAGUCGAGUUGUUUGGGAAUGCAGCUCAAAAUGGGUGGUAAAUUCCAUCUAAAGCUAAAUAUGGACGAGAGACCGAUAGCGAACAAGUACCGUGAGGGAAAGAUGAAAAGAACUUUGGAAAGAGAGUUAAACAGUACGUGAAAUUGCUGAAAGGGAAACGCUUGAAGUUAGUCGCAUUGGCUUGAAAUCAACCUGGUUUUUACUUGGUGUACUUUCUUGUUAAUGGGUCAACAUCAGUUUUGACUAUUGGAUAAGAGUUGAAGGAAUGUGGCUCCUUUAGGAGUGUUAUAGCCUUUAGCUGUAUACAGUGGCUGAGACUGAGGCUCUCAGCACGCCUUUAUGGCCGGGUUUCGACCACGUACGUGCUUAGGAUGUUGGCAUAAUAGCUUUAAGCGA
rnacentral:rRNA from 1 species